CCUACGGGUGGCAGCAGUGGGGAAUAUUGCACAAUGGGGGAAACCCUGAUGCAGCGACGCCGCGUGAGUGAAGAAGGAUUGCGGGAUGUAAAGCUCUAGCAGCAGGGAAGAAAAGGACGGUACCUGAGUAAGAAGCCCCGGCUAACGACGUGCCAGCAGCCGCGGUAAGACGUAGGGGGCAAGAGUUAUCCGGCUUUACUGGGUGUAAAGGGAGCGUAGACGGCAGCACAAGGCUGGAGUGAAAUGCCGGGGCUUAACCCCGGAACGGCUUUGGAAACUGUGCAGCUAGCGUGCAGGAGAGGUAAGUGGCAUUCCUAGUGUAGCGGUGAACUGCGUCGCUAUUCGGAGGCACCCCAGUGGCGCAGGCGGCUUACUGGACUGUAACUGACGUUGAGGCUCGAAAGCGUGGGGAGCACACAGGAUUCGCUACCCUGGUAGUC
rnacentral:rRNA from 1 species